GGGCCCGCACAAGCGGUGGAGUAUGUGGUUUAAUUCGAUGCAACGCGAAGAACCUUACCAGGGUUUGACAUCCUGCGAAUCUCUUGGAAACGAGAGAGUGCCUUCGGGAACGCAGUGACAGGUGGUGCAUGGCUGUCGUCAGCUCGUGUCGUGAGAUGUUGGGUUAAGUCCCGCAACGAGCGCAACCCACGUCGUUAGUUGCCAGCAUUUAGUUGGGCACUCUAGCGAGACCGCCGGUGAUAAACCGGAGGAAGGUGUGGACGACGUCAAGUCAUCAUGGCCCUUACGGGUUGGGCUACACACGUGCUACAAUGGCAUCUACAGUGAGUUAAUCUCCAAAAGAUGUCUCAGU
rnacentral:rRNA from 1 species